UUGGGUAGGGGAGCGUUCUGUAAGCCUGUGAAGGUGUGCUGUGAGGCAUGCUGGAGGUAUCAGAAGUGCGAAUGCUGACAUAAGUAACGAUAAAGCGGGUGAAAAGCCCGCUCGCCGGAAGACCAAGGGUUCCUGUCCAACGUUAAUCGGGGCAGGGUGAGUCGACCCCUAAGGCGAGGCCGAAAGGCGUAGUCGAUGGGAAACAGGUUAAUAUUCCUGUACUUGGUGUUACUGCGAAGGGGGGACGGAGAAGGCUAUGUUGGCCGGGCGACGGUUGUCCCGGUUUAAGCGUGUAGGCUGGUUUUCCAGGCAAAUCCGGAAAAUCAAGGCUGAGGCGUGAUGACGAGGCACUACGGUGCUGAAGCAACAAAUGCCCUGCUUCCAGGAAAAGCCUCUAAGCAUCAGGUAACAUCAAAUCGUACCCCAAACCGACACAGGUGGUCAGGUAGAGAAUACCAAGGCGCUUGAGAGAACUCGGGUGAAGGAACUAGGCAAAAUGGUGCCGUAACUUCGGGAGAAGGCACGCUGAUAUGUAGGUGAAGUCCCUCGCGGAUGGAGCUGAAAUCAGUCGAAGAUACCAGCUGGCUGCAACUGUUUAUUAAAAACACAGCACUGUGCAAACACGAAAGUGGACGUAUACGGUGUGACGCCUGCCCGGUGC
rnacentral:rRNA from 1 species